GCGAUCAUACCAGCACUAAUGCACGGAUCCCAUCAGAACUCCGAAGUUAAGCGUGCUUGGGCGAGAGUAGUACUAGGAUGGGUGACCUCUUGGGAAGUCCUCGUGUUGCACCCC
rnacentral:rRNA from 1 species